UACGUAGGGGGCAAGCGUUGUUCGGAUUUACUGGGCGUAAAGGGCGCGUAGGCGGCGCGUAAAGUCGGACAUGAAAUCAUUGGGCUUAACCCGAUGGCUGUGCCCGAUACUUGCGUGCUUAGAGUGUGGGAGAGGCAAUCGGAAUUCUCGGUGUAGCGGUGAAAUGCGUAGAUAACGAGAGGAACUCCGGUGGCGAAGGUGGGUUGCUGGAGCGACACUGACGCUGAGGCGCGAAAGCUAGGGGAGCAAACAGG
rnacentral:rRNA from 1 species